rnacentral:tRNA from 1 species
AGUUACUUAGCUCAGUUGGUUAGAGCGUGGUGCUAAUAACACCAAAGGUCACAGGUUCAAUCCCUGCUUACUG